rnacentral:rRNA from 1 species
AAAACAUGUCUUUUUGAAAAUAAUAUAAAGUCUAAUCUGCCCACUGAUUUUAAAUUGAAGGGCUGCAGUAUAUUGACUGUACAAAGGUAGCAUAAUCAUUAGUCAUUUAAUUGAUGACUUGUAUGAAAGAUUGAAUGAGAUAUAUACUGUCUCUAAUUUAAUUAUAGAAUUUAAUUUUUUUAUUAAAAAGUUAAGAUAUUUUAAAAAGACGAGAAGACCCUAUAGAGUUUAAUUGAUUAUUAAUUUGAUUUUAUUUUGAAAAAUAAUAAUGAAAUUUAAUAGUUUAUUUUAUUGGGGUGAUAAAAAAAUAAAUAAAACUUUUUUUAAUAAAAAACAUUUAUAAGUGAAUAAAUGAUCCAAUAAUAUUGAUUAUAAGAAAAAAUUACCUUAGGGAUAACAGCGUAAUUUUUUUUUUUAGUUCAAAUAAGAAAAAAAGUUUGCGACCUCGAUGUUGGAUUAAGAUAAAAUUUAAAUGUAGAAGUUUAAAAUUUUGAUCUGUUCGAUCAUUAAAAUCUUACAUGAUCU